GGGGCAGGGCUCUGGCAGCCUGGGGUUCUGCCUCUGGUGGGAGGCUGCCCUUCAGGACGCCCUGCCCUGCUAAAAUUGGUGGCAAAAUAUUCUUUUCAAGCUGGUCCAGUGGGAGCUGGAGAAGUUCUCCAAUGGUGUGAUCCUCAAACACACCUCCCUGAUGGAGCCUUUAUGGACAGCUGCUCUCAGGGAUGGGGUUGAACAUCAAUGGAAUCCAGUGGGAGCUGUUCCCAGGGGGUAAAAAGGAUCCCUGCUCCCAAGCUGGAGUCCUCCCUGGCCUGGAAGAGCUCCUCUUGUGCAGGCAGCUCCUGCCCUGCCUCUGCCUGUCUCUGCUUUCCAUCAGAGAUUCCUCACGUGCCGCAGCUGAACCACCCAGUAGGCUCCCGUGAAUAAAACCUUGAUUUUGCCUAAUCAGAAUUUUCUGACAUUUCUUGGAAGAUUCCCAAAGAGCACUCAAACCCUUGAGGAGCCUGGAUCCUGGAUAUGAUUCCUGUCCAUAAAUAGCCAGGCUGAAGUUCAGUUAAAUAACCAUGGCAUCCAACCGUGUGGCCCCUGCCAGAGCUUGGCACUGGAUUGUCACCCUGAGCCAAGCACAGGGGGUUGUGCUGGGGCAUCUCAGCCUUCCCUUGGUCUCUCUGGCCACCAUUUCUGCCCAGCACCUCUUCUUCAUUGUCUCCUUUGGCUCCACUUCCUCCUCCUGGACACACUCUUGGCCCAGGAGGUGCUAAGGGACACCAGCCCAGAUUUCCUUCAGCACUCCAA